AUGACAGAGGACCCCCCCCAGCAGGACGCACCCCAGAGCAGCCCCCAUUCCACCUUCCUCCUCCUCUUCUUCCUCGCAGCCCUCCCAGGGCUGCGGGCGGCCGUGCAACUGGUCGAGUCCGGAGGGGGCUUGCAGAAACCCGGGGGGUCCCUGGGCCUCCUCUGCAAGGCGUCCGGCUUCGACUUCGGCAGCUACGGCAUGUUCUGGGUGCGACAGGCGCCCGGGAAGGCGCUCGAAUGGCUCGCAGGUAUUCACUACAGUGGCGGUUACAACUUCUACGCGCCGUCGGUCGAAGGACGCUUCACCGUCUCGAGGGACAACUCCCAGAGCACGCUCACGCUGCAGAUGAACAGCCUCAGGGCCGACGACACGGCCACCUACUACUGCGCAAAAGAAGAUGAUGAUGAUGGUGGCACUGACGCCGGCACCGAGCCCAACACCCCUGCUCUGCGUCCCCAAAUCCCGGCAUCUUCCUCAACUCCCCCCUCAUCCCUGGUCCCCUGCACCCAACCCAGACCCUUGUUCUGA